rnacentral:rRNA from 1 species
GAUGAACGCUAGCGGGAGGCUUAACACAUGCAAGUCGAGGGGUAAAUGGUAGCAAUACUAUGAGACCGGCGGACGGGUGCGUAACGCGUAUGCAACAUACCUUGUGCAGGGGGAUAGCCCGUGGAAACGCGGAUUAAUAUUCCAUAGUCCAGCUAUAUCGCAUGGUAUAGUUGGUAAAGAUUUAUCGGCACAAGUUUGGCAUGCGUCUGAUUAGCUUGUUGGUAGGGUAACGGCCUACCAAGGCUACGAUCAGUAGGGGUUCUGAGAGGAUUAACCCCCACACUGGUACUGAGACACGGACCAGACUCCUACGGGAGGCAGCAGUGAGGAAUAUUGGUCAAUGGGCGGAAGCCUGAACCAGCCAUCCCGCGUGAAGGAAGACAGCCUUACGGGUUGUAAACUUCUUUUCCAGGGGGAGAAUAAUCCUGUCGUGACAGGACUUGACGGUACUCUGGGAAUAAGCAUCGGCUAACUCCGUG